AACGAACGCUGGCGGCAGGCUUAACACAUGCAAGUCGAACGCAUCCUUCGGGGUGAGUGGCAGACGGGUGAGUAACGCGUGGGAACGUGCCCUUCAGUUCGGGAUAACCCAGGGAAACUUGGGCUAAUACCGGAUACGUGCGAGAGCAGAAAGAUUUAUCAGCUGAAGGAUCGGCCCGCGUCUGAUUAGCUAGUUGGUGGGGUAAUGGCCCACCAAGGCGACGCUCAGUAGCUGGUCUGAGAGGAUGAUCAGCCACAUUGGGACUGAGACACGGCCCAAACUCCUACGGGAGGCAGCAGUGGGGAAUAUUGGACAAUGGGCGCAAGCCUGAUCCAGCCAUGCCGCGUGAGUGAUGAAGGCCUUAGGGUUGUAAAGCUCUUUCGUCCGGGACGAUAAUGACGUUACCGGAAGAAGAAGCCCCGGCUAACUUCGUGCCAGCAGCCGCCGUAA
rnacentral:rRNA from 1 species